UACGAAGGGGGCUAGCGUUGCUCGGAAUCACUGGGCGUAAAGCGCACGUAGGCGGACUCUUAAGUCAGGGGUGAAAUCCUGGAGCUCAACUCCAGAACUGCCCUUGAUACUGGGAGCCUUGAGUUCGGGAGAGGUGAGUGGAACUGCGAGUGUAGAGGUGAAAUUCGUAGAUAUUCGCAAGAACACCAGUGGCGAAGGCGGCUCACUGGCCCGAUACUGACGCUGAGGAGCGAAAGCGUGGGGAGCGAACAGG
rnacentral:rRNA from 1 species